AUAUUCUUGUUGCAACUUAUUGUAAAGUCAUCUUCUAAGAAGAUUGCAUUUCUACUUAUGAAUACCUUCUAUUCAUUUUGAUUCUAGAAAUGAUAUCCAAUUAUUUCUUUAGGGUAGACACAAAUAGAUAUCUAUUUGUCCUAGAUUCCAAUUUGUCCAUAUUAUGCUUCUAAACAUGUACGGGACAGCCCCAUAUCUUUAAGUUUUCACGCU
rnacentral:lncRNA from 1 species